rnacentral:rRNA from 1 species
UACGGGGGGGGUAAGCGUUGUUCGGAAUUACUGGGCGUAAAGGGCUCGUAGGCGGCCAACUAAGUCAUACGUGAAAUCCCUCAGCUUAACUGGGGAACUGCGUGUGAUACUGGAUGGCUUGGAUUUGGGAGAGGGAUGCGGAAUUCCAGGUGUAGCGGUGAAAUGCGUAGAUAUUGGGAGGAACACCGGUGGCGAAGGCGGCCUCCUGGACCGGAACUGACGCUGAGGCGCGAAAGCGUGGGUAGCAAACGGG